rnacentral:rRNA from 1 species
GACGAACGCUGGCGGCGUGCUUAACACAUGCAAGUCGAGCGGAGCGGCGAACGGGUGAGUAACGCGGGAGUAACUGGCCCCCUCUCUGGGAUAACAGUUGGAAACGGGUGCUAAUACCGGAUAGUGGGGGAUGACUCGCGUCCUAUCAGCUUGUUGGUGGGGUAGUGGCCUACCAAGGCGACGACGGGUAGCCGGCCUGAGAGGGCGAACGGCCACAUGGGGCUGAGAUACGGCCCAAACUCGUACUGGAGGCAGCAGUGGGGACUAUUGCGCAAUGGGGGAAACCCUGAUGCAGCAACGCGCGUGCGGGAGGACGGCCUUCGGGUUGUAAACCGCUUUCAGCCAUGACGCGGUAGUGGCAGAAGAAGCACCGGCUAACUCCGUGCCAGCCGCCGCGGUAAUAC